rnacentral:rRNA from 1 species
UACGAAGGUGGCUAGCGUUGUUCGGAAUUACUGGGCGUAAAGCGCACGCAGGCGGAUUUAUAAGUCAGGGGUGAAAUCCCGGGGCUCAACCUCGGAAUUGCCCUUGAUACUGUCUAUCUUGAGUCCGGGAGAGGUGAGUGGAAUUCCUAGUGUAGAGGUGAAAUUCGUAGAUAUUAGGAAGAACACAAGUGGCGAAGGCGGCUCACUGGCCCGGUACUGACGCUCAUGUGCGAAAGCGUGGGGAGCAAACAGG